AGAUGACGUCACGUCGUGUUUUUUUACACUGUGUGAAUGUGAAUGAUUGUUACACGCGCGUCAAAAGUGUAGCAACUCUCUUCCUCAAUCACGCGAAAUCAGCUGAACAUCUCCGAGAGCUGAGGUUACCUGUGCAGGCGAGGAUUCAGGAUUGAACACGGGUUGACAAAUUUCCGAUUUGAGCAAAACGCGGUGGUUUGCAGGCUGUUUACCUUGGGAAAAAGUUCUCGGCUGCUGAAAAGCGCUUGGUUUUAUUGACCAGGAUGAAACAAUCAAAAAGUGCACUAGAACUGAUUGACUUGAGCUUUUUGUCUGCUGAGGAAGAGGCAGCCAUCCGUCAAGUGCUUCUGAGAGAUGAAGAUUUAAAACGACUGGAGAGUGGACGAGUCAGGAAACUGAGGCAGUCAGUCCCUGACUUUCAACAGCUGAAGACUUUGACAGGUGAGUGGUUUGAAGAGCUCAGGGUCAAGCGAUACGGGCAGCAGACAGAUGUCACUGCAGUGGUGAGAUCCUCCAUGAGAUGGAAGAAAACAGCAGCUCAUAAACCCAACCCGUUCCUGAAUGAAAAGGAGGAUCACAGCACACCUUCAACGUAUUCAAAUCCAUCAACUGACCCUAGAUUAAUUCAUCCAACACUUAGUAAAGAGAGUUAUCAUCAAUAUACUGAUGAGGACUUUAUGGAUGGUGAGGCUUCAUCUGCUCCAAGAGUGGCUGGAAGAAAAGAAAAACUACGAGCAGAACUCAAUGUUCAAGACACUAAACCCGAAAGAGGCACCACAAAACAUGCAACAAAUCCAGAGCCAGGGCGAAAAGUUUCACUCCCUCCAGCAUUACGUAAAGACCAAUCGUUUGAAGAGAACUGGGUGAAGAUCUCCCUCGAACCGAAUGCAGUGAAACCUAUGCAUGAUGAAAGCAAUAGUGUUGGACCUAAACAAAAAGAGGGGAAAGAUGCUUCCGGUGAUUCUGCCGAUGACCGACCAGUGGAAAUGGAAAAGAAAACACCUAAAAAAAAUGAGCUGUUGCACAAUAAAACAGCCGAUAUAAGUGCAGUAGAAGAUUUCAAAAUGUCAUCACCACCUUCAAAACCAAGUGUCAGUGACAAAACUGUGCAAAGAUAUCUUGAUGCUCAUGAAGAUAAAGAAAAAAUUAAGAUAAAGUCAUCAAAUGAUCAGAAUUUAGCAAAAGACGCUAACAAUACAAGUCAAGUUUUAGCAGAAUUAAGCCAAGACUAUCUUUCAAUGACAGAUGAUGGGAAAUUAGUGCACAUUGUAAAUGCUGGCGAGCACGUUGACACUAAACAUAACGACAAAACUGCUGUUGAACCAAUUCGACCAGCUAAACCUACAAGUGAAGAUGUUGCUGGGCUGGGUCAAGGUUCUUCAGAGAUGAAAGUUGAGGAGGACAAUGCUGAAACCGAGCAGGGGAUGAAGUCAGAUAUAGUAAGUGUUCUGGCCAGAGCUCAAAAGACAAGACCACCCGUCCUGCAGAAGAACACUGGUCUGGAGCCAAAGCAGGAGACUAGAGAUGAUAUGGUUCCCACAAUAGUCAUUAUGCCUUCUGAAUCUCCAGAUCCAACAAAAAUGAAAGGUAACUGA
rnacentral:lncRNA from 1 species